rnacentral:rRNA from 1 species
CAAUAGCGUAUAUUAAAGUUGUUGCGGUUAAAAAGCUCGUAGUUGGAUUUCUGUUGAGGAUGGGCGGUCCGCACAUCGUGCGUGUAUCUGUUACAGCCUCGGCAUCCUCUUGAAGAACGAACUGUGAUUUAUUUCGUGGUUCGGAAUUCAAGACUUUUACUUUGAGGAAAUUAGAGUGUUCACGGCAAGCAAUCGCUUUGAAUACAUUAGCAUGGAAUAAUAAUAUAGGACCUUGGUACUAUUUUGUUGGUUUUCUAGAACUAAGGUAAUGAUUAAUAGGGAUAAUUGGGGGCGAUUCGUAUUAACGCGUCAGAGGUGGAAUUCUUGGAUUGCGUUACGACGAACUACUGACGAAAGCUAUUUGCCAAGGAUUGUUUUCUAUUGAUCAAGAAACG